UUUCUUGCAGAAGAACAGCUUUUAAAGGCCUGGGAGCCUGCACGGUGGGAGUGCUGACACUGCCAGUUUGGGCCGGCAGCCGGAUGUGGGCCACACGCAGAAAUCAGUGUGUUGAAUGCUUCUGAUUUGGCUGUAGAGCAAGCAAGCACAUGCCCUCCAGAAAUAUCAAGAAAGGAGAAGCUUACCGCAUGGCAAACUGCCUCCACUUCUCAUCCAAAAUAGAACUCUGGCUGAGGAACCUUGGCUACUGGCUUCUGAACCAUCUUGCUUGGUGUUGGCAUCUCUGUGACCUCCCAGGAUGGGUCUUGGCCUUACCAUCCCUUUGCCAUCCUGGCCCACCACUCCCAACUUUAAUCACAGACUCAGACAGUUGCCUGAUCUCUAGAUUCUGGUGACAGCCUGCCUACUUGUUCUUCUUGCCCUCACCAAACUCACUGACCAAGCACAUCACACAA